AUUAUCUUUGAUUUACAUGCCAACUUUAUCUUCUUCAUAUACCUUCAUCCAGAUAGAGCCUUCUGAUAUGACAGAUCAUGUUGAACAGUGGAGUGGAGCAAUUAGAAAUUAGAACAUACUUCUGAACUGAGUUCACCAAGGAAGCGAAGCUAUAUAUAUCUUCUGCACAUAGACGGAUCGUACAGCCGCUUUAGAGGCAGAAGUUGUGGGCAUGCUGAACUCAACAUUCACGUGACUGGCAAAUCUGGA